UUUAUCUCUACUCUCCCAUGCAAUUCUCUCUCUUUUCUCCUCGCUCUGUCUCUCUCUCUCUCCUAAAGAGAAAUGGACAAGAUGAAAAUUCGGGUUGGUGGGUCGGAUUCUGAGUCCCGACGAGUACCACCAAGUAAGAGCGCAAAGAAUUGUCAUUUACCACCUGCCAGAGGAAGCAUCAAACGCAAGAUUUUUGCCCUUCUUUACAAAAUUUCCAAGCGUCAAACCCAACGUGGCUUUCAUUACCUUCUUAGCCACAGCAGCCACAGUUAGUUACCCAUUCCUUUUCCACUACAAGGACAUUAAUUCUAUUAUGAUUAUACUCUCUAAAGUCUUUCUAGAUUUGUCAAUAACAAAACCUUUCAGUAGUUCUUAUUUCAAGUGCUGGCAGAAAAACAAUUAUGACCUUUACGAUACAAUAUACAUGUCAACAAGGUGGAGGUGAACGACUAUUGUUCUGGCAAAGAAGCAUGCUGCAAAAGUGAAGCUAGUCUUGGACAUGUCAUCACAAUAGAAAAAAAGGUAUAUGUUAAUAAGUAAAAUAAAUUCAAUUACAAGUCUAAAGCUAAUAACCCCUCUUUCAAAAAGAAAGGUCUUUACUUAUAAGUGAAAAAUCCAAAUAUUAUGUGCCAAAAUGCAAACAAAUUAAGUUAAAAAUAAUGAUCAUGCUAAAUCGAUUCAUAUGAAAGCAAAUUUAAUUGAAAGCAUAUGAUAUAUUUGUUGCUGUCAUCUCUCAAGCGAACAUGAUUGCCAUUAUUGGGUAGUCGACUCUGGGUUUGCUAGGCAUAUCAUAUGCUUUUAUCUCCUAUGCUCCUAUUGGAGAAGGAAAAAAAACAUGUAUGUGAGUGAUACUAGAACUGUACCUAUUCUUGGAAAAGGAAAACGUAUUCUCAGACUCGCUUCUAGCAAAACUUUAGCACUUAAUGAGGUCCAUAUGCAGCAUACCCUUGAUGAAAAGAACAAGCUCCAAACAUCAAGAGCUAGAAAGCGUGAUUUCUGUUAUGUUGUUGGGGAAAGGGGGGUUAAGUUGUCAUUCGAAUCUCACAAGAUUGUAAUAACAAAGAACAAUAUAUAUAUUGGCGAGGGCCAUUGUUAUCUGUCUUUGUUAGUGAAAAUGCAUCUAUCUUUUCUAUUUAUAUUAUUGAUUUUGUUAAAGUUUGGCA